rnacentral:rRNA from 1 species
ACCGGUUUCCCGUUCAUGGAAAUGACCUUUUUCGAAAGGUAUACUUAAAGAGGGGCUUGCGGCACAUUAGUUAGUUGGUAGGGUAAAAGCCUACCAAGACCAUGAUGUGUAGCUGGACUGAGAGGUUGAACAGCCACAUUGGGACUGAGACACGGCCCAAACUCCUACGGGAGGCAGCAGUAGGGAAUUUUCGGCAAUGGAGGAAACUCUGACCGAGCAACGCCGCGUGAACGAUGAAGUAUUUCGGUAUGUAAAGUUCUUUUAUUGGAGAAGAAAAAAUAGUGGAAAAACUAUCUUGACGAUAUUCAAUGAAUAAGCCCCGGCAAACUAUGUGCCAGCAGCCGCGGUAAUACAUAGGGGGCGAGCGUUAUCCGGAAUUAUUGGGCGUAAAGGUGCGUAGGCGGUUUGGUAAGUCUAUAGUUUAAUUUCAGUGCUUAACACUGUUCUGCUAUAGAAACUAUCAGACUAGAGUGAGAUAGAGGCAAGUGGAAUUCCAUGUGUAGCGGUAAAAUGCGUAAAUAUAUGGAGGAACACCAGAGGCGUAGGCGGCUUGCUGGGUCUUUACUGACGCUGAGGCACGAAAGCGUGGGGAGCAAACAGGAUUAGAUACCCUGGUAGUCCACGCCGUAAACGAUGAGUACUAAGUGUCGGGGAAACUCGGUACUGAAGUUAACACAUUAAGUACUCCGCCUGAGUAGUACGUACGCAAGUAUGAAACUUAAAGGAAUUGACGGGACUCCGCACAAGCGGUGGAUCAUGUUGUUUAAUUUGAAGAUACACGAAAAACCUUACCAGGUCUUGACAUACUCUGCAAAGCUAUAGCAAUAUAGCGGAGGUUAUCAGGGAUACAGGUGGUGCAUGGUUGUCGUCAGCUCGUGUCGUGAGAUGUUAGGUUAAGUCCUAAAACGAGCGCAACCCUUGUCACUAGUUGCCAGCAUGUUAUGAUGGGCACUUUAGUGAGACUGCCAAUGAAAAAUUGGAGGAAGGUGAGGAUCACGUCAAAUCAUCAUGCCCCUUAUGAUCUGGGCUACAAACGUGAUACAAUGGCUGUUACAAAGAGUAGCUAAAACGCGAGUUUAUAGCCAAUCUCAUAAAAGCAGUCUCAGUUCGGAUUGAAGUCUGCAACUCGACUUCAUGAAGUUGGAAUCGCUAGUAAUCGCAGAAUCAGACAAGUCGCCGGGAAAUUUGGGGGG